UUAGAUAAUGCCAUUUUGGUGGGCCUGACGUCUGCGUCUCUCUUCUCGCCUCGUGGAAAAAGAAAAUAUUCCCCUCUGUGUUUCUCUCUACGUCUCUCUGCGCAUUUGGGACGAGACAAGCGUUUCCUUGAAGUCGGAUAACUUCAUCGGCCCGCGCAAGCCACUAGGAGGAGGUAGUUUUAUCGGACUAGUCGCAGGGACAGUGCGCAGUUUUCAGUUAGCGGCACAGUUGAACGGUCGUCGUCCGGUGUUGACGACACAGCUCAACCGUCCCAACGAACAAAGGAACGGUGAGGUCGAAGCGCGUCCGUUAGCGGAGGACGAGCGGCGGUCUUAUUUAUGAAACAAGAAACAACUUAAAAUCCACCCGCACGCUAUUUGUGUUGUGGUAUUUAGACUUUAACCGUCUUUCCCCCCCUCAAGUAUAUCCAAACAGUUAGCCUGACUCAUUCAGUCUCGUUAGCAACAUCGGCUAACGUUAGCUGUGGACAACUGGCUAGCUGACUGCUAACUUUUUUUUUUUUUAAGCAUUGUUUUGAUUCAAGAAAGGAGUUUAUUUUUUUUAUUCUAUUUUUAUUUUUAUUUUUUUUUGUGAGCGGGGCAAAAUGGCCGAAGUUUAUAUCCGAGUGGCGGAGGAGGAAAACGAGGAACCCAUGGAGAUCCCAUCCGAGGACGACGGCACGGUUCUGCUUUCUACGGUGGCCGCGCAGUUUCCAGGGGCGUGUGGCCUCCGGUUCAGGAGCCCCGUGUCCCAGUGCAUGAGGGGGGUGCGUCUGGUGGAGGGGAUCCUACACGCUCCGGAAAACGGAUGGGGAAAUGUCGUGUACGUGGUCAACUACCCGAAAGACAACAAAAGGAAAAUGGAGGAAAUCGAUGCGUCGUCAGCUGUGAAAAUGAAGAGAGGGGACAUGAAGACAUCUGAUCUGAUUGUACUCGGUCUGCCCUGGAAAACAACCGAGCAGGACCUCAAAGACUACUUUAGCACAUUUGGAGAAGUCAUCAUGGUUCAGGUAAAACGAGACGCCAAGACGGGAAACUCUAAAGGAUUUGGCUUUGUGAGGUUCACGGAGUACGAGGCUCAAGAAAAGGUCAUCUCCCAGCGCCAUAUGAUCGACGGCAGAUGGUGUGACUGCAAGCUCCCUAACUCGAAGGUGAAUCUGCAAGGUCCCGAUGAGCCGCUGAGGAGCCGGAAAGUGUUUGUAGGCCGUUGCACAGAGGACAUGACCACAGAUGACCUCCGGCAGUUCUUUAUGCAGUAUGGAGAAGUCACAGAUGUGUUCAUCCCCAAGCCGUUCCGUGCUUUUGCCUUUGUAACAUUUGCAGAUGAUCAGGUUGCCCAGUCUCUCUGUGGAGAGGACCUAAUAAUCAAAGGCGUCAGCGUUCACAUCUCAAAUGCUGAGCCCAAACAUGGAAAUAGGCAGUUUGAUCGUACAGCACGGUUUGGGAAUGGUUUUGGAGCUCAAGCAUUUGGUAGCAGCCGUAGUGGGUUAGGAAGCAGCACUAACAGUAGUCUGGCUAAUUUUGGUUCCUUCAGUCUGAACCCUGCUAUGAUGGCUGCUGCUCAGGCUGCUCUGCAGAGUAGUUGGGGGAUGAUGGGUAUGCUGGCUAGCCAACAGCAGACAUCCACGUCAGGCAGUACCUCAAGUGGAACAAGCUCUAGUAGGGACCAGAGUCAGUCAUUCGGUACAGGCAACAGCAACUACGGCACCAGCUCAGCCAGUCUUGGCUGGGGAACAGGGUCAAACUCUACAACCAGUGGGAGUGGGUUUAGCUCAGGUUUUGGGUCCAGUAUGGAGUCAAAGUCAUCUGGGUGGGGUAUGUAAGUUAAGUGUUUGUAUGGUAAGUAUUGUGACAAAGAUGAGUCUUUUCAAAAGUUUAUUUCUGGUGUUGAUGCGUAUCUGAAAACUUAACACUUUUGUGGAAGAUGUUUUGUACAUUUGGAAAAAAUGCUAAAGAUUUAAUUUAGAAAGUGUUGAAGUGAGUUGUUUACCAGGAUGUCCGACUAAAGUGCUAUUUUUGACGUCUCAUUUGUUUGUAUCCAUUUCAACUGGAUUCUCUAAUGCAUGUAUUGUGAAAUGUGAUAACCAUUUUGAAAAUGCAUGAAUGUUUGUGGUUCACCAUUAUCCGGCUUUGUCAUCGAUUUUUAAAAGGCAAUCUUGCAUUGGGAAGAAUCUGGUUGAAACCUAAAUGUUUUAAGUGCAACUUUAUUUGCAGUCAAGUUCUGUGGAAAAGCCUUCAUUGAAAUCUCUUCUGCAGUUCACCUCUCUUCCAUUUUCCUGUGAGGAAGUUCCUCUUUGGCAGCAUUCUUGGGGUGAUAUCGGUAUCAUUCUCCCUCUUCCCACCUGUAAAUGCUAUGCCAUCAAAGAACGGCUUCACUCCGCAUGUUCUAAGAGACGGGACCUUGGGCUCUGCUGGUCGAGGUCUCCGUUUGAACCCUGACUGAAGUCUGUUCUGAAGGACGAAGACGGAAGUUCCAACACUUUCAGUGUGUGGCCUUCUCAGACAUGACAUGGGGUAGUACCUGUCUUUUUGCUGCUUUUGAUGGCUUGUCAGAGUGAAUUAUCCCUUUUUUUUCCAUUACUCACAGCUACUUUUAGAGGGAAGUUCUUGGGGAAUCAUUGUCUUUAUUUGAACUUUAACAGAUGAGCUCAGUAAUGUGGCAUCACCUCGCAAGCAAUGUUUUAAAAAGAAAAUGUAAAUCUAAUUUGGCUCAAGUAGUAAGAACUAAUGGCACAUUGCUGAGCUGUGAAAUUAGUGAUGGGGAUUUUUAGAUUGCCUUAUAUAUUCAGUGGCCACUUUAUUAGGUACGCCUGUACAAUCUUGCAAUUUAACAACUGUUCUGCUAUGAAUGGUAUUUUUAUGAAGUUUGUAAUAUGAUUGUGUUGACAUUGUUUGACAUUUGAGAGUUUAAUUCUAAGUUCAUAGUCUUAGGUGAUGUUUUCCUUACAGGGCUACAGUAUAUUGAGGUUUUUCUGAUUUGUUUCCAUCCCUAUUUACGUACACAGAGGAGAAUAUUAGACACCUGAAUAUAAAGCACUCAGUAUGUCAUAAAGGUGGCAUUAUGGCAGGUGUAUUGGAUUGCAUUAGAUUGCACAUGUGUACCUAAUAAAGUGGUCACUGACUGUACAUUAUGGAUAGUUUGCCUGACAGUCUUAAGUCCAUUUGAGGUUUCCCCACAUAUUUAGAUAAUUGUUAUAUUUUGGGGAAAUUUGGCAGGUUUAUAAUUUAUAUAAAUGACUAAACUGCUCUAAUAGAAGAUUUUGUAGUCCGUGUCACUUUGACAGUGCUUUUACAAAAACAACCUACAUUUGUAUCAGUUCAUACGUUUUUUUAUUGAAUGUCAAACCGGUGCCAACUGCACUACAUUUUGACAUCAGCAGGUCCCAGGACGGAUAAGUCGGAAGUUAUUUGCUCUAAAUCUGCAGAAAGUGUAAAAUAAAAGUACUGUAAUGUGACAUUAGAUCUCAUGCUGUAGGUUAGUUUAAAGAUGAAAUGCAUAAUUCCCAUGAAAGAAUGAUUAUAGCACCUUUAGGACACUGAACUCACUGUCAUGUAUUAGUCAGCCUUCAUGUUUAUUUGAAUGUUGGGUACAAGUGAGACACUGCAGGGCCUGCCUGUGUCUUGUCCUUAUUGUCUGCUUUCCUCCUCCUCAGUGUCUCUGCUCUUCCUCUUCCCAGUACUCUUCUUUUUCAAAUCCCUCUGCUCCUGGUUCAGUUCCUCGCUUUUAUUUUGUAUGUAGAUGGACUGAAAUAAAUAAAGGCAAAUUAAACAUUCAAUUUGCUGUCUGCUGUAGAAUAUAUAUACCCCUACACAGUUCCAGUCUUCUGUAUUAUGAGGAUGAAAGGUGGCUCGUAAAUUACUACACACAUACAUAUAGGACAUAAAACUCUGUACAAUUCCUUUCUGACAAUGGAAUAACUCACUAGUGCAGUACUGCGACGAGCUACGAGCUUCACAUCUUCUGUAGACACAGUGCUUCUUUUAGCAUGCCUGAAAUUAGAGAGUUAGAGAUUAUUCUCCUUCUAUAUGCUGGAUUAAGACAAUUGAACAAAAGAUCUAAUCAGGUAUUUUGGCUAAAGUACAAGACAGUUCAGGGUUAAUUUAUCUGUUAAUAUGGUUACAAAAAUAAAAGGUUCUUACCUGGCAAAGGCCUCCAGGUCUUUAGCAAAUAUAUCUGGGGAAAAGCCAACAGUGAGAUGUUUACUUUAGACUGACCUGUGGCAAUUAUGAAAUGGAAUUAUAUUGAACAUUAUUUCUAAUAUUUCGUUCACCCUCUAUUUACAUACAUAUGGCCUCAGAAUAUUAAAGUACUUUGUAGUUAGUUACACAUAUAAAUUCUUCAGUCAACACAGCAGGAGUUUAUCUGGACUAAACUGGAUGGAUAAAUUUAUUCAAUGACCACAUCUUUCCAAAUUCACUAUUUUUCACACGUUUUACACGUUUUUAAUAAAAUAACUCAAAAUUUAAGUAGGUGGCAAUCUUUUGCAUCAACAACAUUUAGCUUUUCAGUUUCAUAUAAUCUAUAUAAACGAGCAGAUCUAUAUUCGAACAUUAACUCAGCCAGACACAAGAGUUGGCCGGGAGACGGAGAGGAGUACGUUAUGUGUGGUAACAAUGCACUGAAUGCUGCCUGGAUAUAUCUGCAGAUUGCCAGAGAUGGAUGGAGCAUACAAUGUGAAGUGGUUAGUGUGGUCAAAUGCAGAAGAAGGGUUGUGUAGCACUGCUGUACGUCUGUAGGAAUUACAGUAGUAGCUACCCUUUACGUGUGUGUGUGGUAUAUAACACUUUUUGUAUUACAUUACUGGAUUUACUUUGCAUUUUGGGAUAAUUUCGCAAAAGGGGUUAAAAAUAAAACAUCGAAGCACACGGCAGGAUUUCUGAUUUAUUUCAAUUCAAUGCAAUUUUAUUUGUAUAGCGCCAAAUCAUAACAGAAGUUACACUGACACGUUUCAGGUAGAGCGGGUCUCUUGUGUUUGUUUUUUUUAUACUAUUUUUGGGAACAUUUUGUGUUUGUUUUUUUUACAUACAUAAGAGCUGACAGUAAAUGAGGUGACAAGGUUCAGCCAGGUUCCUGUGUUGCAACUCAAACCAGGGCUAAUGUGAUUACAUGGUCAGCGUCUUUAAACCCUUACGGCAAGUAUACUGUGGCCUUUAGAGCAACAGGAUACCUCAGUACUGUAGUAACGGUAGACUGAGUUGAUGCCGAUUGAGACCAACUAUUGUACCAAGAUGCAUGCUGGUAAACAACUGUGUGAAAGUUCUGGAAAAACACUUGAGAAAACACAAAGCUAUGUAUUAUUGGAUUGGACAAAAUGUACAAAUGUACCCAAAUGUACCCAAUAAACCAGUAACUCAGUUGAUUUGUGUGACUGGAUCUGCUGCUGGGUUGUAUAAAUGAUGCUUUGUAAUGAUGUGUUGUUAUAAUAUGUUACAUUUAUAAAGAGGAGAAGGAGAGCGGGCACACCUUGCUGCCCAGUAUGUAUUAACAUGCCACAACCUGAGGGACAGUGAGUGAUCAGUGUUUCCUAACCUUUUCCAUUAAAAGACCCUUCUUGUAUCAUUGAGUAAACCCUGACUACGUGACAUACUUUAUGGGUAUUUCAGAUUAUAGUCAAUGCACAGCACUACCACUACUGACUGAGCAAUUUAGAUGAUUGUUGAGCUGAUUAUGUCCAGUGAAUAUUACCCAGAGAUGAGUUUUCCUCAUAUUUUUGGCAACUUUUUAUACAAUUCUGUCUGUAUUAUGUUUUUUAUUUAUUUUUUGCCAAUCAUACAUAUUAUUAAUUUGUGACAAAUUCAGUGUUUAAAAUCCUGAGAUAUACUACUGUGUAUAUUUCUAAGUUUUCUUACACCCCUUAAAAAAUCACUGAAGCUUUGGUGACCCCUAAUGGGGGUCCCGACCCUCAGGUUGGGGUAUACUGACCUACACACACACACAAAUACACAAUUGUUGUUGUUUAUAGUUUUGUAUUUUUUCUACUCAUUUUUACCACUCUGUAUAUAUUUGAUACUUGCUCUGGCUUCACUGUUAAUCGUCUGUUUCCAUGCCAAUAAAGCCCCUUUGUAUUGAACA